rnacentral:rRNA from 1 species
UACGAAGGGUGCAAGCGUUACUCGGAAUUACUGGGCGUAAAGGGCUCGUAGGUGGCCAACUAAGUCAGACGUGAAAUCCCUCGGCUUAACCGGGGAACUGCGUCUGAUACUGGAUGGCUUGAGAUUGGGAGAGGGACGCGGAAUUCCAGGUGUAGCGGUGAAAUUCGUAGAUAUUGGGAAGAACACCGGUGGCGAAGGCGGCGACCUGGUCCGAUACUGACGCUGAGGCGCGAAAGCGUGGGGAGCAAACAGG